AGCAGUAAGGUCGAUUAUCUUAAUAUAUUAUCAAUUUUAACAGGUUUUCACACAACAGAAAAAACAUAUUAAGUACGAGAUGUAUAUAUUUACCAAAUCAGGAAAAUAGGAUGACGAAUAAACACACAACGAUUAGUGCCAAAUAUAGGGAGAUUCUCUCAAAAGUCAAAAGUAUAUUUACUCACUUUUAGACAGAAAAUAGAGGUUAAUUUAUGGUAUAUUAUAUAUAUAUACUAAAAGAGCAAAAUUGGAUGGUGAAUAAACACGUGCCAAAAAUAGGGACUUCCAAUUCUCUCAAGAAUGUAUUAACUCUGAUAAACUUUAGACACAAAACAGAGGUUAAUUGAACCUAAACCAGUGGUUUUAUACAGAAGGUCUGCCUCUGUUUCAUGGUCAAAUUUGAGCAAAAACGGAGAACAAACCUGGGAAGAAGCUAGGAAAAGAGUCGCGGCGGCGAGAGACGGAGGGAUCGGAGCGGCGGU
rnacentral:lncRNA from 1 species